rnacentral:rRNA from 1 species
AGAGGGUUAAAUAGCACGUGAAAUUGUUGAAAGGGAAGCGUUUGCGACCAGACUUUUUCCUGGCGGAUCAUCCGGUGUUCUCACCGGUGCACUUCGCCUGGUAAAGGCCAGCAUCGGUUUCGGUAGGGGGAUAAAAGCCUUGGGAACGUAGCUCUUUCGGGAGUGUUAUAGCCCCUGGCAUAAUACCCUUACGGGGACCGAGGACCGCGCUUCGGCAAGGAUGCUGGCAUAAUGGUCGUCAACGACCCGUCUUGAAACACGGACCAAGGAGUCGAACAUUUGUGCGAGUGUUUGGGUGUUAAACCCUCACGCGUAAUGAAAGUGAACGGAGGUGAGAGCCCUUACGGGUGCAUCAUCGACCGAUCCUGAUGUCUUCGGAUGGAUUUGAGUAAGAGCAUAACUGUUCGGACCCGAAAGAUGGUGAACUAUGCGUGGAUAGGGUGAAGCCAGAGGAAACUCUGGUGGAGGCUCGCAGCGGUUCUGACGUGCAAAUCGAUCGUCAAAUCUGCGCAUGGGGGCGAAAGACUUAUCGAACCAUCUAGUAGCUGGUUACCGCCGAAGUUUCCCUCAGGAUAGCAGUGUUGUUCUUCAGUUUUAUGAGGUAAAGCGAAUGAUUAGGGACUCGGGGGCUAUUUUUUGCCUUCAUCCAUUCUCAAACUUUAAAUAUGUAAGAAGCCCUUGUUACUUAAUUGAACGUGGGCAUUCGAAUGUACCAACACUAGUGGGCCAUUUUUGGUAAGCAGAACUGGCGAUGCGGGAUGAACCGAACGCGGGGUUAAGGUGCCGGAGUGGACGCUCAUCAGACACCACAAAAGGUGUUAGCACAUUUAGACAAUAGGACGGUGGCCAUGGAAGUCGGAAUCCGCUAAGGACUGUGUAACAACUCACCUAUCGAAUGUGCUAGCCCUGAAAAUGGAUGGCGCUCAAGCGUCCCACCCAUACCUCGCCCUCAGGGUAGAAACGAUGCCCUGAGGAGUAGGCGGCCGUGGGGGUCAGUGACGAAGCCUAGG